UUUCUUCUUCCGUGGUUGGUGCUGCUGCUGCUGCUGAAGAUGACUGUACCAGGCUUUCCUGGAACAGAUCAAAACUGAUACAAUGCUGAUACUUUCCAUUGUGCUCGUGAAGUUUUAAUUCUUCAAGUUAACACUAUCUUUCCUCCAAAGGCUCAGAUAUAUCGGGAAAUAAUUAUUCUUUGUUUCUUUUUUCAUUAUUAUUUUUAUUUAUUAUUUUGGAGGGACUGAAUAACAUUCAAUCUACCGUCUUGGAAAAACAUCGGUUUCUAAAUAAACAACCAUGAGGCAUUUAUCCCUUGAUCGCGUAUUACGGAAGGUGUCGUCGACAUUUUCCCUUGUUUUUCUUUGUGAAACCUGUUUCUUGUUGUUGUUUUUUUUCCCUUUCAGCACUCUCGGUAGCAGUCUUAGUAACCCUUUUCAGGACAUGCAACAUCUGUACAACUUUUCACGUUUACUAUGCAUUCCACCUCCACUUCUCUGCUUUGACUAACAGCAUUAUGUAACACUGUACUCAUUUUCGAGCAUUUCAUUUCUUUGCUUCUGAGAUUAUAAUCUGUUUUGUGCCUUGCUAGAUAUGAUAAAUAUUUCAUGUAUUUCACCCUAUUACCAUUUUCCUUUUCUCCCCAUGCUGUCUGUUGCUUAUUUCAGUAAACGUCAGCUUCUUUCUUUACCCAGCCCUGAUACAUUCCCCUUGUUUUACAGUAACAUGCGUGGUGAUAAUUUAGCUCUUCCUACAUGUAUUGAUUUGCCUGUUCUUUGUGCAGAGGCCAUGCUCUGCUAAUCAGCCUCCCCACUCCCCUGCCUUUGCGCCUUCAAGUUUGUGUGUGCAGUUCACGAAUUCUCUUAAGUUGCUACCCUAACUAUUCUGGCUGUGUGUCUGCUUGUGUAGCACAGUUCAUCCCUUCUUUGCCUGAUGAUGCAACUCUCCUUUUCAGACACAGCCUAGGCAAACAGAGCACAGUUUAUCAAUAAAGAAGUUUAAUUUCCCCCUUAUCUCGCGGCUUGUACAAACUUGUUGCGUUCAAGUUUGUCUAGUUGGGUUACUUUUUUUCCGAGUGCAUUGUGGGAAGCCCUACGUCUGGCUGGCAGCUAUUGAUUUUGUCCCCGCGUUACCAUCUUCCAGGCUUCGCCCCUCUCCGCGGACCCGGCGGUGCCGGUCCCGUCCCGCACUGCGGAGGCGGAGUCUGAGGCCCCGGUGGGGCGCUACCGGGUGACCCCUCCGGGUGCGCGGAGGGGGGGGGGGAGGGUUCCGCUGUGCGUUGGCAGCGCGCCCGCCGCUGUUCCUUCAGCUCUGUCGGUAUAAAGCUGGGAGGGGGAAGAGCAAACUUCCUGCCCCGCUCGCUCCCCCGCCCGCAGCCCCGCAC
rnacentral:lncRNA from 1 species